GCGGGGCUCCUCAUGCUGCUCUUCUGGUUCUUCGAUCUCGCGGAGCCCUCUGGCCGCGCAGAGCAGACUUGUGGCCUUGUUUGGGGAAGCACUGGAAUUUUGAACCCCCAGCCAUUUGGGUCAAUUGUUUGGCAAGAGUGUCCGCUUCAUGAUGCUGGUGAUGGCAUGCACCUCGUCACAUGUGCACGGCUAGGCUUGUGCAGGUGGCCUCUAUUACCCAAACACUGAAGGAGCCCCUCUGUGUCCUUGGAGAGAUGCCAGGUGCUUAGUUUACAUUUUUGCCUGCUUGGAGAGCUAACAGCUUGAAGUAAACCAAUCCAUCAGGGACUCCUGAGGUUUUCACCAGCCAACACCACCCAAUCGUGCGUGAAGACUUUCUGACUCCCUGGACAUUGCCAUGGACUCAACUGUCACUUCAGGACCUGUUUUUGAACUAACAAACCUAGACUUCUGAUUCUCUCUUGCUGCACCUACCUGUACAUUCCGAACACAUGGUAGAGACUCUACAAAAUGCUUAAUAUGUGAUCUAUGGACGGUUCCCCUGAAAUUAUAAAUGCUGCCAUCUUCAUCCUUCUUGUUUUCCCAAGCUAUUU
rnacentral:lncRNA from 1 species